GAGUUUGAUCCUGGCUCAGGAUGAACGCUAGCGGCAGGCCUAACACAUGCAAGUCGAACGGUAACAUAGAUUGCUUGCAAUCUGAUGACGAGUGGCGCACGGGUGCGUAACGCGUAUGCAAUCUACCUUUUACAGGAGAAUAGCCCAGAGAAAUUUGGAAUAAUGCUCCAUAAUAUCAUAUAUCAGCAUUGAUUUAUGAUUAAAGUUCCGGCGGUAAAAGAUGAGCAUGCGUUCUAUUAGCUAGUAGGUGAGGUAACGGCUCACCUAGGCAACGAUAGAUAGGGGCCCUGAGAGGGGGAUCCCCCACACUGGUACUGAGACACGGACCAGACUCCUACGGGAGGCAGCAGUGAGGAAUAUUGGACAAUGGAGGAAACUCUGAUCCAGCCAUGCCGCGUGCAGGAUGACUGCCCUAUGGGUUGUGAACUGCUUUUAUAUAGGAAGAAACACUCUCACGUGUGGGGGCUUGACGGUACUAUAUGAAUAAGGAUCGGCUAACUCCGUGCCAGCAGCCGCGGUAAUACGGAGGAUCCAAGCGUUAUCCGGAAUCAUUGGGUUUAAAGGGUCCGCAGGCGGCCUGUUAAGUCAGAGGUGAAAUCCUACAGCUCAACUGUAGAACUGCCUUUGAUACUGAUAGGCUUGAGUUAUUGUGAAGUGGUUAGAAUGUGUGGUGUAAC
rnacentral:rRNA from 1 species